rnacentral:rRNA from 1 species
GUGAACGCUGGCGGUAGGCCUAACACCUGCAAGUCGAACGGCAGCACAGUAAGAGCUUGCUCUUACGGGUGGCGAGUGGCGGACGGGUGAGGAAUACAUCGGAAUCUACUUUUUCGUGGGGUAUAACGUAGGGAAACUUACGCUAAUACCGCAUACGACCUACGGGUGAAAGCCGGGGAUCUUCGGACCUUGCGCGAUUGAAUGAGCCGAUGUCGGAUUAGCUAGUUGGCGGGGUAAAGGCCCACCAAGGCGACGAUCCGUAGCUGGUCUGAGAGGAUGAUCAGCCACACUGGAACUGAGACACGGUCCAGACUCCUACGGGAGGCAGCAGUGGGGAAUAUUGGACAAUGGGCGCAAGCCUGAUCCAGCCAUACCGCGUGGGUGAAGAAGGCCUUCGGGUUGUAAAGCCCUUUUGUUGGGAAAGAAAAGCAGCAGGUUAAUACCCCGCUGUUCUGACGGUACCCAAAGAAUAAGCACCGGCUAACUUCGUG